rnacentral:lncRNA from 1 species
AUUUUCUCAACUUUCCCCCCAAAAGAUUGCAUUUUUACCCACCCAAAACUGUACCUUUCUGUUCGAGCUCAUCUGCAGACUCACUGAACUUUGGUGGAUGGGAUGAUAUGAGACUCGGUGGUGACUCAGUUGUGGCUGGGNGGUGGAUGGGAUGAUAUGAGACUCGGUGGUGACUCAGUUGUGGCUGGUGAGUCUAAUCAGCUCAGUAACUUUAUGAAUUCUAUUGGAUUGAAUGACAAGAAAUUUGUGUUUGUUUAUCUUUUGGGGUUUGUUUGUGCUUUGGCUGUUUCUAGG